rnacentral:rRNA from 1 species
UACGUAGGCAGCGAGCGUUGUUCGGAGUUACUGGGCGUAAAGGGUGUGUAGGCGGUUGUUUAAGUUUGGUGUGAAAUCUCCCGGCUCAACUGGGAGGGUGCGCCGAAUACUGAAUGACUUGGAGUGCGGGAGAGGAAAGUGGAAUUCCUGGUGUAGCGGUGAAAUGCGUAGAUAUCAGGAGGAACACCGGUGGUGUAGACGGCUUUCUGGACCGUAACUGACGCUGAGACACGAAAGCCGUGGGGAGCAAACAGG